rnacentral:rRNA from 1 species
GUCUACGGCCAUACCACCCUGAACGCGCCCGAUCUCGUCUGAUCUCGGAAGCUAAGGCAGCGGUCGGGCCCCGGUUAGUACUUGGAUGGGAGACCGCCUGGGAAUACCGGGUGCUGUAGGCU